rnacentral:misc_RNA from 1 species
UCCGGUUCUUCACCGGCAGUCUCCUUAGAGUCCCCGCCAUAACGCGCUGGUAACUAAGGACAAGGGUUGCGCUCGUUACGGGACUUAACCCAACAUCUCACAACACGAGCUGACGACAGCCAUGCAGCACCUGUCUCUGCGUUCCUUUCGGCACUCUCUUAUCUCUAAAAGAUUCGCAGGAUGUCAAGGGUAGGUAAGGUUCUUCGCGUUGCAUCGAAUUAAACCACAUGCUCCACCGCUUGUGCGGGCCCCCGUCAAUUUCUUUGAGUUUUAACCUUGCGGCCGUACUCCCCAGGCGGAGAACUUAUCGCGUUAGCUUCGAUACUGGCGAGACCAAGCUCUCCAACAUCUAGUUCUCAUCGUUUACAGCGUGGACUAC